GCAGGCAUAGCUCAGUUGGUAGAGCAUCUGAUUUCCAAUCAGAGGGUCGUCAGUUCGAACCUGACUGUCUGCUCCA
rnacentral:tRNA from 2 species